rnacentral:rRNA from 1 species
UACGUAGGGGGCGAGCGUUGUCCGGAUUUAUUGGGCGUAAAGAGCUCGUAGGCGGUUUGGUAAGUCGGGUGUGAAAUCUCCACGCUCAACGUGGAGGGGCCACUCGAUACUGCCAUGACUCGAGUCCGGUAGAGGAGUGUGGAAUUCCCGGUGUAGCGGUGAAAUGCGCAGAUAUCGGGAGGAACACCGGUGGCGAAGGCGGGUCUCUGGGCCGAUAUUGACGCUGAGGAGCGAAAGCGUGGGGAGCGAACAGG